rnacentral:rRNA from 1 species
CACGGGGGGAGCGAACGUUGUUCGGAAUCACUGGGCGUAAAGGGCGUGUAGGCGGUUCGGUAAGUGGAAUGUGAAAUCCCCCGGCUUACCCGGGGAACUGCAUCCCAUACUGCUGGACUUGAGUGCGGGAGAGGAUGGAGGAAUUCCUGGUGUAGCGGUGAAAUGCGUAGAUAUCAGGAGGAACACCAAUGGCGAAGGCAGCUCGCUGGGACGGUACUGACGCUGAGACGCGAAAGCGUGGGGAGCAAACAGG